rnacentral:rRNA from 1 species
GUGGGGAAUAUUGGGCAAUGGGCGAAAGCCUGACCCAGCAACGCCGCGUGAAGGAAGAAGGUCUUCGGAUUGUAAACUUUUGUCUUAUGGGACGAUAAUGACGGUACCAUAGGAGGAAGCCACGACUAACUACGUGCCAGCAGUCGCGGUAAUACGUAGGUGGCAAGCGUUAUCCGGAAUUAUUGGGUGUAAAGGGUGCGUAGGCGGGAUGUAAAGUCAGAUGUGAAAUACCGCAGCUUAACUGCGGAGCUGCAUUUGAAACUUACGUUCUUGAGUGAAGUAGAGGUAAGCGGAAUUCCUAGUGUAGCGGUGAAAUGCGUAGAUAUUAGGAGGAACACCGGUGGCGAAGGCGGCUUACUGGGCUUAUACUGACGCUGAGGCACGAAAGUGUGGGGAGCAAACAGGAUUAGAUACCCUAGUAGUCC